AGAAAAGAAGAACAAACUUGUGGGUGAAGGGGAAGGUCUUCCAUGUCAAAGUAUGGCAGACGUCCUCGCUUGCCGAAUCUGCAAUCAGGAACCCAACGGAAAUGGAUGAUUGGAAUUAACAAUCGACGCGAUUACAUCAUGCGUGAAAAGUUGAAAUAGCUGAAGUAUAUAAUAGGUGAGUGCAACUAGACAAUCAUUCAAACAGUUCCGUGCAUUCCGCAUGCUAAAGCCAAAUGGUUUUUGCUGAUCUUUUAGCAAUUUGUGCGUGCAAAAUAGGAAAGAAACCUUUGCGGGAGAAUCGCUAGCUGUGAGUUAUAUGUGACUGGUGUGAAGAAUUGAGCGGGAAAAAUCAAAGUCUUUGGAUUUGAAUUUGAGUUGAUACCUGGGACGAACGAGUGAGUUGUCGUAGCGCCGGUCGAGUUGCUUCAGCUGCAGUAACUGGACAAUCUUACCGCCCCUGAUACUGAACAUACGCUAACACAGUUUCAAUGUUAAAACAAUGGACGGCUCUGCUGAGGUUCAUUUGAGAGCAAAAAGGAAGAGUCUCAAAAAACACAAUGAAGAGGAUCAAACUAAUCACUUUGAAUUAGGAUAUACAUGCAAUCGAUGACGGUACACGUCACCUGUCGAUGAAUGUUUCAAUAGAAAAGGUCAAAACGACCACACACUAAGAAAUUUGAAUUUUGUAUUAUACCUGGGCCGGGCGGCUUGACCGUAGACUUUGUCCAAUCCUUGAAGAUAUUUGAUGGCAUCAGCCAUGGCCGUCAUUUCUCCGCCUUCACCUCCGCUCAUGACGUCUCCGCCAUCGGCUUUGGUGGUAGUGACGCAAACGGCCAACACGACCAUCACCACCAGGAAGACCAAAGCGGCCAACGAACAGGAGCGGGGAAGGAAUUGCUGGAUGCUGCUGCUGGACAUUUUGUGGUUGGGUGAGUGUAGUGGAAGAAGAAGAUGAUGAAGGAGGUAGAAGAGGCAAGUGUCGACUGUGUCCUGACUGGGCCAUUUGGCACCUUUUUAUACCCGUUUCCCAUCCCUCUGGUCCAGCGGCGUGUGCCCACCGGUUGACGCAGUCGCGGAUAAAGGAUUGGAAAAGUCUGUCAGCCGCAGGAUUCCCGCUCAGUUGCAACUGUUUUUGUUUUCCCAACUGCUACGCAAAUGAAGAAUUGCGAACAUGACAACUCAAUGGUAUAAUAACCGCAGCUGCCAAUGGCGUCGGAAGACGGCCACAUAUUUACAGACAACUCGAGCCGGAACUGUUGCAGAGUGCGUACAAGAGAACACACACAGUGUACGCAUUUGACAUUUUUUCUUUUUUAGUUCUAGACAUUGGACACAGCACUUGGAUUUCGGUGAACGUGAAGACCACACAAAUCCUUUUGGGUUGGUGGCGGCGGCUUUGCCGGGAUGGAUUUGACACUCUCCAACACAACAAACCACUUCUCCCACAUACACCAAGAUGUAACUUUUGUGUCCGUUUCGUCGCGUUAAACUGAAAGGGGAAAAAUAAAGUCCCGGAGAAUUUUAAAAAGAAACCAGUCGAUAGUGCCAAGGUUGGCCGUUUUUUCUAACUUUCUUUCCCGGCCGAUAUUAUUAUAUAUCCAGUGUGUGUGUGUGUGCGUAAUAUUACGAAAGAGUCGGGGUGGGGCAAGCGUUUGACGGGCAAAGGAAGUCAUAGUAGAGAGAUAAAUGGUUCAAUCAGUACAACACGAACCUACAAACGCGUUUAUGAAGUCGAAGCUGAGCCGCUGCCCAUAAAUUGGGAGCCUUAGAAAAAGGGAUCCCGAAAAAUCCCGCGGGGAAACAAACACAUCUCGGAUGUCAGCCAACGUCAAUACGUUUUUUCCGUAGCCUUUUUUCUUUUUAAAAGUAAUAGACGCGCCUGAAACAACC